UACGGAGGGGGCUAGCGUUGCUCGGAAUCAUUGGGCGUAAAGCGCGUGUAGGCGGUUCGUAAAGUCGGAUGUGAAAGCCCUGGGCUUAACCCAGGAAGUGCAUUCGAAACUCACGAACUUGAGUCCCGGAGAGGAAGGCGGAAUUCUCGGUGUAGAGGUGAAAUUCGUAGAUAUCGAGAGGAACAUCUGUGGCGAAGGCGGCCUUCUGGACGGUGACUGACGCUGAGACGCGAAAGCGUGGGGAGCAAACAGG
rnacentral:rRNA from 1 species